UUUGGGUUCAGUAGCCAACAAAAUCAGACUUGAAGUCACCAACGUCCUCUGCUCCAGCAACCCACCCAGAAGCAACUUACACAGAGAAGAAUAAAAAGCACUCACCAACCUGAGGAAAGACAGCAACAUAAUCAUUCUCCCAGGAGACAAAGGCAACACCACAGUCAUAAUGAACACAUCGGACUACCAAUCCAAACUA